GUCCCUGUGGCUCAGUUGGUAGAGCAUGGUGUGUGCAACGCCAGGGUUGUGGGUUCGAUUCCCACGGGGGGCC
rfam:Salmo salar isolate Sally breed double haploid chromosome ssa21, whole genome shotgun sequence.